rnacentral:tRNA from 1 species
AGGGCUGUAGCUCAGUGGUAGAGCACUUGCCUUGCAUGUAUGAGGCACUGGGUUCGAUCCUCAGCACCACAU